rnacentral:precursor_RNA from 1 species
GACCCAGUGGGGGAAGUGCAUUACUGACUGCACUCCCCAGAGCUCAACAUG